UACGAAGGGGGCAAGCGUUGUUCGGAAUUACUGGGCGUAAAGGGCGCGUAGGCGGCUUAUCAAGUCAGGCGUGAAAUUCCCGGGCUCAACCUGGGGGCUGCGUUUGAUACUGAUGAGCUUGAAUGCGGGAGAGGAUAGUGGAAUUCCCAGUGUAGAGGUGAAAUUCGUAGAUAUUGGGAAGAACACCAGUGGCGAAGGCGGCUAUCUGGCCCGUAAUUGACGCUGAGGCGCGAAAGCGUGGGGAGCAAACAGG
rnacentral:rRNA from 1 species